AUACUUGCCUGGCAGGGGAGCUACCAUGAUCAUGAAGGUGGUUUUCCCAGGGCGAGGCUCACCCAUUGCACUCUGGAUGUGCUGACCCCUGCGAUUUCCCAAACAUGGGAAACUCAACUGCAUAAUUUGUGGUAGUGGGGGACUGCGUUUGUGCUCUCCCCUA
ensembl:snRNA U1 U1 spliceosomal RNA